AUUGAACGCUGGCGGCAUGCUUUACACAUGCAAGUCGAACGGUAACAGGUUAAGCUGACGAGUGGCGAACGGGUGAGUAAUGCAUCGGAACGUGCCCGGUCGUGGGGGAUAACGCAGCGAAAGCUGCGCUAAUACCGCAUACGAUCUGAGGAUGAAAGCGGGGGACCGUAAGGCCUCGCGCGAUCGGAGCGGCCGAUGUCAGAUUGGGUAGUUGGUGGGGUAAAGGCUCACCAAGCCAACGAUCUGUAGCUGGUCUGAGAGGACGACCAGCCACACUGGGACUGAGACACGGCCCAGACUCCUACGGGAGGCAGCAGUGGGGAAUUUUGGACAAUGGGCGAAAGCCUGAUCCAGCAAUGCCGCGUGCAGGAAGAAGGCCUUCGGGUUGUAAACUGCUUUUGUACGGAGCGAAAAGGCCUCCUCUAAUACAGGGGGCUCAUGACGGUACCGUAAGAAUAAGCACCGGCUAACUACGUGCCAGCCGCCGCAGUAA
rnacentral:rRNA from 1 species